CACCAUGCACACGUCUGAGGCUCCUUAAGGAAAAGCUGACCACGUCCCAUGUCAAUCUGAGACUGAACUGGACAGCUGAAUGCCAAAAUUCUGAUACGUUACCUGAGGAAGUCAAAGUGAAGGAAACAGUCCUUUAAAAAUUGUGCAGAGCUGCUGUCAGUUAUGGAGGCAGAAGACCAGUCCUUCCUGCCGCAGGAUCCUGGUGACAGGGGUAGCAAGUGAGCGUAUCUUUAAGAAGCGUGGCAAAAUGAUCUGCUCCGGUCUUGCUGUUCCGAAGUCUCAAACAGAUGUCAGCGCCUUUACCGAAGAACACACUAAAAAGUGGAUUAGACAAGCACACAGGGAACGCUGGAUUCAGACUGACAGCCAAGGAGAAAAAAAAAAAGAAGAAGAAGAAGAAGAAAAAAGUGCUAUUCCCCACAAAUAUCUAAAGGUGGGAGUUUUCAAACGCCCUCGCUGUGUGUGGAGCGCUAGGGACAUCCAUGAUUGAAGACUCCCUAAUCUUCCCAGGAGUAACCACACAGGCGAAUAUUUGCUCGCUCUGCCCGUACAGGUAGCGUAUCCCAAUGCUGCUGAUGUAUUAACGCGCGAGUAUUUAAGCGGAGCUUUUCCACCCCGGAUCACUGCGGUGAGCUGCUUGCGCUGAGGAGGUAGCCUUGCUUCUCCCUGCUUUCUG
rnacentral:lncRNA from 1 species